GGAUGGAGUUAUAAGAAGCUAAGUUUGAUGAAUGACUUCCAGAUAUACUGGCAGCCCUAGGAUGCAUCACGGCCCUUGGGAUGGUGGUGUUCUUCCCACUCCAGAUGUUUGAUGUGUCGUCUUCUUCCAGAACCCUGAGAGCCUUCCGCCAAUCCCCACACCUCCAUUCUUUCUGCUGGACUUCUCAGAGGUCAUCCCAUACAUGGCGCUCUGCCACAGCUUCCCAGAAACAGAUCAGCAAACCCUCACCAGCGAGAAGGAAGCUAUCCACAACCCAGGAAGAGAGCUCUCACCAAGAACCGAAUCUGCUAGCACUUUGGACUUCCCAGCCUUCAGAACGAAUUAUUAGAAAAUCCAUGCAGUAUUUGGAAAGAACUUCCAG
rnacentral:lncRNA from 1 species